rnacentral:rRNA from 1 species
AUUGAACGCUGGCGGAAUGCUUUACACAUGCAAGUCGAACGGCAGCACGGGGGCAACCCUGGUGGCGAGUGGCGAACGGGUGAGUAAUACAUCGGAACGUGCCCAGUCGUGGGGGAUAACCAGUCGAAAGACUGGCUAAUACCGCAUACGACCCGAGGGUGAAAGCGGGGGACCGCAAGGCCUCGCGCGAUGUGAGCGGCCGAUGUCUGAUUAGCUAGUUGGCGGGGUAAAGGCCCACCAAGGCGACGAUCAGUAGCUGGUCUGCGAGGACGACCAGCCACACUGGGACUGAGACACGGCCCAGACUCCUACGGGAGGCAGCAGUGGGGAAUUUUGGACAAUGGGCGCAAGCCUGAUCCAGCCAUGCCGCGUGCGGGAAGAAGGCCUUCGGGUUGUAAACCGCUUUUGGCAGGAACGAAACGGCGACUCCUAAUACGGGUGGCUAAUGACGGUACCUGCAGAAUAAGCACCGGCUAACUACGUGCCAGCCGCCGCCGUAAGAC